GACAGAGGGGGCAAGCGUUGCUCGGAAUCACUGGGCGUAAAGGGCGCGUAGGCGGGAUGGCAAGUCAGUCGUGAAAUCUCUCGGCUCAACCGAGAAAACGUCGGCUGAUACUGCCGUUCUUGAGGGAUGCAGAGGAGACUGGAAUUCCCGGUGUAGCGGUGAAAUGUGUAGAGAUCGGGAGGAACACCGGUGGCGAGGCGGGUCUCUGGGCAUCUCCUGACGCUGAGGCGGCGAAAGCGUGGGGAGCAAACGGGG
rnacentral:rRNA from 1 species